CUUCUCUAAUGCUUUCACACCACUGAAAAGCCAGGCCAUGAUUCUCACAGCCGAGGAGGGACAACAAGAGGGAAACAGUCCAUCAGCAGGCUGGGAGAAUAUGGAAGAAAGCUUUGUGGCCGCUUCUACAGGAGAAGGAAUGGAAUUAAUCAGUAUGGUGCAGCAGGAGGACUCUCAGAGAAGGAAGAAUGCAGCAGUGAAGAAUCUUCUGUCCCUUACCUUGAACAUUAGCAUCAUGGUUCUGUUUUUUAAUUUGUGACAUAAAGGGUAAAUUCCUUGUUGUGGUCAUGGAUGAUGGCAAUCAUCAACACAUCUAGGCAGCAAGGCUUCUUUUCAACAUUCACGUCCUGGUGAAUCUGCAAACACUGAGAAGAAGGACAAGGAUCUUGUGCACUUAUUGAAAGUGCUUUUUCUUCCUUCUCCCCUUGAAAAGUACAAUAAAUUCAGCAUACAGCUCA